UACGUAGGGUGCAAGCGUUGUCCGGAAUUAUUGGGCGUAAAGAGCUCGUAGGCGGUUUGUCGCGUCUGCUGUGAAAAUCCAGGGCUUAACCGUGGACCUGCAGUGGGUACGGGCAGACUAGAGUGCGGUAAGGGAGAUCGGAAUUCCUGGUGUAGCGGUGAAAUGCGCAGAUAUCAGGAGGAACACCGGUGGCGAAGGCGGACCUCUGGGCCGUAACUGACGCUGAGGAGCGAAAGCACGGGGAGCGAACAGG
rnacentral:rRNA from 1 species